rnacentral:rRNA from 1 species
AAAUUGAAGAGUUUGAUCAUGGCUCAGAUUGAACGCUGGCGGCAGGCCUAACACAUGCAAGUCGAACGGUAACAGGAAGCAGCUUGCUGCUUUGCUGACGAGUGGCGGACGGGUGAGUAAUCUCUGGGAAACUGCCUGAUGGAGGGGGAUAACUACUGGAAACGGUGGCUAAUACCGCAUAACGUCGCAAGACCAAAGAGGGGGACCUUCGGGCCUCUUGCCAUCAGAUGUGCCCAGAUGGGAUUAGCUAGUUGGUGAGGUAACGGCUCACCAAGGCGACGAUCCCUAGCUGGUCUGAGAGGAUGACCAGCCACACUGGAACUGAGACACGGUCCAGACUCCUACGGGAGGCAGCAGUGGGGAAUAUUGCACAAUGGGCGCAAGCCUGAUGCAGCCAUGCCGCGUGUAUGAAGAAGGCCUUCGGGUUGUAAAGUACUUUCAGCGGGGAGGAAGGUGUUGUGGUUAAUAACCACAGCAAUUGACGUUACCCGCAG